GCCUGUGAAACUGAAUAACGAAGAUCACUCAACAAUGCCUGCUCCUCUCUGACUGCACCGCCCCGCCGCCGACGCCCAGUAGAGCCCCCGGGGCGGUCCCCACCGACGGCGCAGCCCGCCGGGACCGGGAGAAAGCAGCUGCGGACACCGCGCCCGUGCGUCUGCGCGCCUGGCCGCCAGGUGACCCAGCAGCCCGGCCGCCGAGAUGCCCAACCCGCCCAGGCUCCGGGCGCUGUGACUUCGCGCCGCUGUGUGCGCCUCCCCGAGCGCCGGCUGCGCCCCCCAGCCCGGCCCGGGGCCUACCGCCUGCCCGGCCCCCUGCCACUGCCAGGAGGACGGCAUCAUGCUGUCUGCCGACUGCUCUUGAGCUUGGGCUGUCCGCCAUACCGGGGGACCUGGAUCCCCUGACGGCUUACCUAGCAGUGCCCAGGAUGGUGGCUGAGGGUAAAGCUGACAGAACUGGAGGUGGAGGUGAGGGGAGCGUGCCCCAGUGGGGUGGAAAUAAUGUCUGUUCUUCUGCCAUGGUGAGGACAACAGGGCUGUCACACUGAGGCUGGGUGGCCUUCUUUGGGGGGGGGGUCCCAGAAGCUGGGAGGGGGGCCUUAUCCACUCUUGUCUCCUCAGAAAGGGACUCUGCCAGCA
rnacentral:lncRNA from 1 species